rnacentral:rRNA from 1 species
CCUACGGGGGGCAGCAGUGGGGAAUCUUGGGCAAUGGGCGCAAGCCUGACCCAGCAACGCCGCGUGAAGGAAGAAGGCUUUCGGGUUGUAAACUUCUUUUUACAGGGAAGAGUAUAAGACGGUACCUGUCGAAUAAGCCACGGCUAACUACGUGCCAGCAGCCGCGGUAAUACGUAGGUGGCAAGCGUUGUCCGGAUUUACUGGGUGGAAAGGGCGUGUAGCCGGGUUGACAAGUCAGAUGUGAAAUCCUGCGGCUUAACCGAAGAACUGCAUUUGAAACUGUUGAUCUUGAGUACUGGAGAGGCAGACGGAAUUCCUGGUGUAGCGGUGAAAUGCGUAGAUAUUAGGAAGAACACCAGUGGCGAAGGCAGUCUGCUAAGCAGCAACUGACGGUGAGGCGCGAAAGCGUGGGGAGCAAACAGGAUUAGAUACCCCAGUAGUC